rnacentral:rRNA from 1 species
AGCAGCCGCGGUAAUUCCAGCUCCAAUAGCGUAUAUUAAAGUUGUUGCAGUUAAAAAGCUCGUAGUUGAACCUUGGGUCUGGCUGGCCGGUCCGCCUCACCGCGAGUACUGGUCCGGCUGGACCUUUCCUUCUGGGGAACCUCAUGGCCUUCACUGGCUGUGGGGGGAACCAGGACUUUUACUGUGAAAAAAUUAGAGUGUUCAAAGCAGGCCUUUGCUCGAAUACAUUAGCAUGGAAUAAUAGAAUAGGACGUGCGGUUCUAUUUUGUUGGUUUCUAGGACCGCCGUAAUGAUUAAUAGGGAUAGUCGGGGGCGUCAGUAUUCAGCUGUCAGAGGUGAAAUUCUUGGAUUUGCUGAAGACUAACUACUGCGAAAGCAUUCGCCAAGGAUGUUUUCAUUAAUCAGGGAACGAAAGUUAGGGGAUCGAAGACGAUCAGAUACCGUCGUAGUCUUAACCAUAAACUAUGCCGACUAGGGAUCGGAUGAUGUUAAUUUUUUAAUGACUCA